CUCAGGACGAACGCUGGCGGCGUGCUUAACACAUGCAAGUCGAGCGGUAAGGCCCUUCGGGGUACACGAGCGGCGAACGGGUGAGUAACACGUGAGCAACCUGCCCCUGACUCUGGGAUAAGCGGUGGAAACGCCGUCUAAUACCGGAUACGACCUUCCGCCUCAUGGUGGAGGGUGGAAAGUUUUUUCGGUCAAGGGAUGGGCUCGCGGCCUAUCAGCUUGUUGGUGGGGUAACGGCCUACCAAGGCGAUUACGGGUAGCCGGCCUGAGAGGGCGACCGGCCACACGACUGAGACACGGCCCAGACUCCUGCGGGAGGCAGCAGUGGGGAAUAUUGCGCAAUGGGCGAAAGCCUGACGCAGCGACGCCGCGUGGGGGAUGACGGCCUUCGGGUUGUAAACCUCUUUUACCACCAACGCAGGCUCCGGGUUCUCUCGGGGUUGACGGUAGGUGGGGAAUAAGGACCGGCUAACUACGUGCCAGCAGCCGCGGUAAUACGUAGGGUCCGAGCGUUGUCCGGAAUUAUUGGCGUAAAGAGCUCGUAGGCGGCGUGUCGCGUCUGCUGUGAAAGACCGGGGCUUAACUCCGGUUCUGCAGUGGAUACGGGCAUGCUAGAGGUAGGUAGGGGAGACUGGAAUUCCUGGUGUAGCGGUGAAAUGCGCAGAUAUCAGGAGGAACACCGGUGGCGAAGGCGGGUCUCUGGGCCUUACCUGACGCUGAGGAGCGAAAGCAUGGGGAGCGAACAGGAUUAGAUACCCUGGUAGUCCAGCCGUAAACGUUGGGCGCUAGGUGUGGGGACUUUCCACGGUUUCCGCGCCGUAGCUAACGCAUUAAGCGCCCCGCCUGGGGAGUACGGCCGCAAGGCUAAAACUCAAAGGAAUUGACGGGGGCCCGCACAAGCGGCGGAGCAUGUUGCUUAAUUCGACGCAACGCGAAGAACCUUACCAAGGUUUGACAUCACCGUGGACCUGUAGAGAUACAGGGUCAUUUAGUUGGUGGGUGACAGGUGUGCAUGGCUGUCGUCAGCUCGUGUCGUGAGAUGUUGGGUUAAGUCCCGAACGAGCGCAACCCUUGUUCCAUGUUGCCAGCACGUAAUGGUGGGGACCAUGGGAGACUGCCGGGGUCAACUCGGAGGAAGGUGGGGACGACGUCAGUCAUCAUGCCCCUUAUGUCUUGGGCUGCAAACAUGCUACAAUGGCCGUACAAUGGGCGUGCGAUACCGUAAGGUGGAGCGAAUCCCUUAAAGCCGUCUC
rnacentral:rRNA from 1 species